rnacentral:lncRNA from 1 species
UUUUUUUUUUUUUUUUUUUUUUUUAAGCUUUAUGUCUGGCUGAUAUCCAUGAUAGUCCAUCAUCUUAGGAUCUGACACUUGGCAGUCGAGCUCCCCAGCACUGCUCGGGGUGCAGGUAGGAAUCAGCCUGCUCUCCCAGCAGCUGCCUCUCAUCCAGGGAUCUUGCUGGAUGCUUAGUGCCUCCUGCCUGGAUUCUCCUCCUGCUCACCCUGAGACAAGCCCACAAUGCGGCCUUACAAACAGCAGCAGCCAGAGGAAAGAGAUUGAUCCCAUGGAGAAGCCAUUUGGGCUGGAAGCACCCACCAGUGGGCUCAGGGAGGCAGCCAAGUCUGGAGGAACAGUCCCACUGACAAUAGCACCAACCUUGUCCCCUCAUCCUGUCUCCCAGGCUGGUGCAGCCAAUCUCCUGAGCCAGGCAGACCACAAACAUCCCUGGGGGUCACAGGUAGCCCUGCCUGCAGCUUUUCUCUGACACCAGGUGGUUUCCCAGCCGUGGGAGGUAAGCUACAGUCAGGUAAGGACUUCAGCCCUCCCCCCAGAGCCCGAAGAUUACCCCUUGGCAACAGGGUUUUGCUACUCUUCCAGCAAAGGCAAAGCCUCUGGUAGUAGGGCAAGGGAGGACAGAUGGCUCAGGUGCCACCCAGACCUGCUGCUGGAGGGGAUGAGAUCCAAGUGACAACAGGCUGUGUCCUCUGAGGGAACACAUGGUGGCAGCCUCCUGUCCACCCCUUGUUACCAGUGAGUAACAGGCACUGUGGGAGCUCUGAUGGCAGUGCCAGAAAAACCUGAGAGCCUACACAGAGGGACAGUCCUGCUGUGAGCCAACCCUUUAACAUACAGCACCCUGCUCCGGCCCCAGGAGAUCUUCUGCUGCAUUUAGGCUGUGGGAGAGACUCCAGACCCUCAGCACAACUCAGGAUUUGCAGUUCAGGGCUGACCCUGUGUACUAAAAAGCAUUUAUCCUGUGGGAGCCAGGAGCCCACGUUCUUGGGGAGUGCUACCACCGAGCUUUGGGUGAGUGAAGGGGAUGCUCAAGUCAAACAACAACUCCUCCUCACCAUUUUAGAGCCCAUUGCCAACACAAACUGCACAGCACAGGACCCCUGCCUCCACUAGAGCUGCUCAGGGGCAGCCACAGCCCCACCCCAACACCCUCUUAAGAUGCUUCACCUGUCUCUGAGGCUGAGGACAAGACAGAGAGAGGAGGAAGCAAACAGUGCCAUAGGCAGGGCUUGGAAGUCCUGAAUCCAGUCCCCUCAUCCCCUGCACACAAACCACCUCAGUUCCCUUGCACCUCCCGAGGGUCAGGCUGGACAGCAGCACCCUGGCCUCCCCCAGCACCCAUCUCCUCAUCCAUUUCACCCCCCAUGGCCAUCCCAUUCUCAAACAGCAACACCAAAGGUGCAGAUCUGAGGGCUGGAGGCACCGGAGACCAAGGGACCUGCACACAUGAGAUGAUCCCUCAUUUGCUUAAUUGUUUUAAAGCCAAACAAAAAUUAAAGCAUUAAACUUUUAAGGUGAUAAGACUGAGUCACUUACCAGUCUGAGGAAGAGGGAGCAGCCAGACCGGGGGGCUUGGGGCACUAAAGCCACGCCAGGCUGUGGUGAUGAUGGUAGUGAGAAGGAGCAGCAGCAGCAGCAUCCACUCUGAAUUUAGACAACCCUCUAUGCCCUGCACCAUGCUGUAUGUCA